rnacentral:misc_RNA from 1 species
AGGAAACUAGCCACUUUGAAGAGGAUGGCUAAAAAACAAGGUUCGUCCAUAAAGAAAGCAGUGGUAGACUUGUGGCAGCUUGCAUUUUCAUAUCAAGUUAACCCUUUAGCGAUUGCUCAACCCCUUUCUGGAGUAGCUCGUGGAUAAAACCCAUAUUUUUAUUCUGUCAUUUCAUAUAAAGCAGCAUUUACAAGCAUUUUGCUUUAAUGGGAAUUCUG